GCUGCAGAGAUGCCAGCUGCAGUGGAGAAGGCACUGCUGGGGCUGCCCACUCUAUGGAGCCAGCAGGUGUCCAGAACAGG
rnacentral:pre_miRNA from 1 species